GACGAACGCUGGCGGCGUGCUUAACACAUGCAAGUCGAACGGUAAGGCCCUUCGGGGUACACGAGUGGCGAACGGGUGAGUAACACGUGGGUGAUCUGCCCUGCACUUCGGGAUAAGCCUGGGAAACUGGGUCUAAUACCGGAUAGGACCACUGCCUGCAUGGGUGGUGGUGGAAAGCUUUUGGGGGGUGGGAUGGGCCCGCGGCCUAUCAGCUUGUUUGUGGGGUGAGGGCCUACCAAGGCGACGACGGGUAGCCGGCCUGAGAGGGUGACCGGCCACAGUGGGACGGAGAUACGGCCCAGACUCCUACGGGAGGCAGCAGUGGGGAAUAUUGCACAAUGGGCGCAAGCCUGAUGCAGCGACGCCGCGUGAGGGAUGACGGUCUUCGGGUUGUAAACCUCUUUCAGCACCGACGAAGCGCAAGUGACGGUAGGUGCAGAAGAAGGACCGGCCAACUACGUGCCAGCCGCCGCGGUAA
rnacentral:rRNA from 1 species